rnacentral:lncRNA from 1 species
CAUGAUCAAAGUACAAAGCCCACUACAAUAUUACACCAAAAACUAAAAGUCGGGCCCAUAAUAAAACCAAGACCAAAAGUCCAAGUGCCCAACCAAAACACACACGUCAAAGACACGUAUUGACUUCUCAACAACGAAAAGAACACAUGUCGCCAAACCCUAUCAUCUUCCCCAACGCCGGAAACCAAAGCGGCGCUUCAUCAGAACCACCCCGGAAAUCUUCUGCAACAUCACAUGCAUCCUCAGCGGCAGGCCUCCUUUCCACGGAGAGCUUCAUCGAACCUCGUCGAUAUUUCAGCCAAAGCCACACCGCCACCAAUCACAAGAUUACAAGAUCCAUAACCAAACCCGUAUUCAUCUUCAUCUCCUUCACUUCAUUAACGGAGAGCAUCAAUCAACAAAUGUUGAGAUCUCAUCCGAAACAGUUCACACACAGAAAGUAGCCCGGGAACAUCAACCAAACCUCAUGCACACUAUAGAGCCGGCGGCGCAGAGUUUAGAUAACCUCCGCCCCCCGGAGUCAUAUGCCGGCGACGAUAGAGCCAUAGGAGCCUCAAAAACAUCCCGGAGUCAAAGACCUAUCAUGAGAGCCGAGAUCAAGAUCCCUCUUCCACACACAAAGGCAAGCAUAGAAAAGAUGAAAAAAGGAAAAAACCGGACCGACGGUGGCUGUGAAAGCCCACUCCGUCGGCCGGAGCACUAUUUAACGACGGAGGCUGGCUAGAGAUGGAAGAG